rnacentral:rRNA from 5 species
UAAACGACUCUCGGCAACGGAUAUCUCGGCUCUCGCAUCGAUGAAGAACGUAGCGAAAUGCGAUACUUGGUGUGAAUUGCAGAAUCCCGUGAACCAUCGAGUCUUUGAACGCAAGUUGCGCCCGAAGCCUUCAGGCCGAGGGCACGUCUGCCUGGGCGUCACAC